rnacentral:rRNA from 1 species
CGGCCCAUACCACGUUGAAAACACCGCUUCUCGUCCGAUCACCGAAGUUAAGCAACGUCGGGCCCGGUCAAUACUUGGAAGGGUGACCACCUAGGAACACCGGGUGCUGUGGGCU